GCUGGCGGCGUGCUUAACACAUGCAAGUCGAACGGUGAAGCCCAGCUUGCUGGGUGGAUCAGUGGCGAACGGGUGAGUAACACGUGAGCAACCUGCCCCUGACUCUGGGAUAAGCGCUGGAAACGGCGUCUAAUACUGGAUACGAGACGUGAUCGCAUGGUCGACGUCUGGAAAGAUUUUUUGGUUGGGGAUGGGCUCGCGGCCUAUCAGCUUGUUGGUGAGGUAAUGGCUCACCAAGGCGUCGACGGGUAGCCGGCCUGAGAGGGUGACCGGCCACACUGGGACUGAGACACGGCCCAGACUCCUACGGGAGGCAGCAGUGGGGAAUAUUGCACAAUGGGCGCAAGCCUGAUGCAGCAACGCCGCGUGAGGGAUGACGGCCUUCGGGUUGUAAACCUCUUUUAGCAAGGAAGAAGCGAAAGUGACGGUACUUGCAGAAAAAGCGCCGGCUAACUACGUGCCAGCAGCCGCGGUAAUACGUAGGGCGCAAGCGUUAUCCGGAAUUAUUGGGCGUAAAGAGCUCGUAGGCGGUUUGUCGCGUCUGCUGUGAAAUCCCGAGGCUCAACCUCGGGUCUGCAGUGGGUACGGGCAGACUAGAGUGCGGUAGGGGAGAUUGGAAUUCCUGGUGUAGCGGUGGAAUGCGCAGAUAUCAGGAGGAACACCGAUGGCGAAGGCAGAUCUCUGGGCCGUAACUGACGCUGAGGAGCGAAAGGGUGGGGAGCAAACAGGCUUAGAUACCCUGGUAGUCCACCCCGUAAACGUUGGGAACUAGUUGUGGGGUCCUUUCCACGGAUUCCGUGACGCAGCUAACGCAUUAAGUUCCCCGCCUGGGGAGUACGGCCGCAAGGCUAAAACUCAAAGGAAUUGACGGGGACCCGCACAAGCGGCGGAGCAUGCGGAUUAAUUCGAUGCAACGCGAAGAAC
rnacentral:rRNA from 1 species